rnacentral:sRNA from 1 species
UGCCAGCCCCGAUUGCAGCGGCAUCCUUUUUUUGUGGCUGAGGCUCCCGAAGCCACCAAAAAAGAUACAGCGGAAAGCGGGUAUCACU